rnacentral:rRNA from 1 species
AUUGAACGCUGGCGGCAUGCUUUACACAUGCAAGUCGAACGGCAGCACAGGGAGCUUGCUCCUGGGUGGCGAGUGGCGAACGGGUGAGUAAUGUAUCGGAACGUGCCUGGUAGUGGGGGAUAACUACUCGAAAGAGUGGCUAAUACCGCAUGAGAUCUUUGGAUGAAAGCGGGGGACCUUCGGGCCUCGUGCUACUGGAGCGGCCGAUAUCAGAUUAGGUUGUUGGUGGGGUAAAGGCCUACCAAGCCUGCGAUCUGUAGCUGGUCUGAGCGGACGACCAGCCACACUGGGACUGAGACACGGCCCAGACUCCUACGGGAGGCAGCAGUGGGGAAUUUUGGACAAUGGGCGCAAGCCUGAUCCAGCAAUGCCGCGUGCAGGACGAAGGCCUUCGGGUUGUAAACUGCUUUUGUACAGAACGAAAAGUCUCUGGCUAAUAUCUAGAGAUCAUGACGGUACUGUAAGAAUAAGCACCGGCUAACUACGUG